CUGGGAUCAGGCUUUUCCAGCGUGUGUGCACGCACGCACGCACACACACGCACUUAAAAACAGAUUUGAUGUUGGUGCAGGAAACAAAUAACUGGUAAAACCAGAAGUGAUCUGUUUGAGUGGAGCUGUGCAACGGCUCAGUAAUUUAAACUGAAUGUGUGUGUGUGUGUGUGUGUGUGUGUGUGUGCUGGUUAUUUCUCGGUCUUGAGACUGAGACUGCAUGUUCUUUGUUGGACCUUCACGAUUCCUGCUCAUUAAUGCAGCAAACACCUGCAGCCGUGGCCGAUCAUCGCCAUGCAGCCUGAGGGCGAACAAGGAGAGCUCUUAAAAAAUGGAAAUCUGGCUUCUUCCGAAGGGAUUUGUUUUUUAGAUUCAUGGUUUUCUAAGAAGCCAUAAACUCUUACCACAAACUGUUCAGUUGAGACGAACCUGCACGAAAUGAGCGCAAAUGAUGCCUCAGAAAUCCUGUUGUCAUAACAACUGGAGUGGGAGAACAUGGAUGUUUCCGGUUUAAGUCGAUUCGCACCUAAAAUUGUGUCCCAGUUACACGUUUAGACGCCGGCAGACGCGAGAGACACACGCCGGUGGAUUUUGCGCGCUAAAGUCGCCGCUUGACACGCACGUGACCACCGCAGGUUACAUCCGGCGAUCGAUCCGCACUCACUUGGACGACGAUGAGUCUUUACAGCAGUCGAAUCGGAGCGCUGCGAAGAUCCUCCACAGCAGAACACGACACGGCUCAGAUCUCUGCGGGGUUUUAAAACAAUCAGGAAGAAACGACGACCCCCCCACCCCCGAAAAAAAGGGACCCUGCACCGCCCCGCUCCAACGCGCGUGUUCAAAUGGAAGGAUGGGCCAUCAUCGUCAUCGUCAUCAUCAUCAUCACGGUGCGCAGACGUCUGAACGGAGCAGCUCCGAGUGAACGCGGAGAGGCGCAGCUGAGGUGAAUCUCGAUCAUCAUUUAGAGCGAGAGAGAGAGACACGUGACCACGAGGAGGGCGGCGCUAAUGGCCUCAAAGUACCUAAAAUAUGAACACGUGGUACCGAAAAGAAGCGGUGGACUUUUCCCCUGGAAGAAGUACUUAAAGUAGCAACCAGAUGGCGACAAUCAUCAAACUUUUGAUCAUUCUCUUUUUUUUUUUUAGUAAGUUAAUUUCCACCAUUAAACAACAACGUACCACAAACUGAUUGUUAACACAUUACAUCCAAAACCUCUAAAUAUCAGAAUAGUAUUGCUUGUAAGAUGUAAAGGAUUUGAUGCCUUGUGAAGAUAAUUGUGUAAUAAUUGCAUCAUGGGUAAUACUGAGACAUUAAAACAAUGGACACAGGCCUAGUUAAAGCCUUAAUUGAGCCGCACCCGUCACCCGUGAGGCGUCUGUUUGCCGCUGUGAUUCAUGGCGCUACGCUCACAGCAGCAGAUAAGGGCUGGUGCAGCCGUUAAACCAGCCCCGGGUAAUAUGACCCUGUCUGCAGAGGCAAGUCGACCAGGUGGAACCGUGCUUUUGUGUUCAGGCAGGUAAAGAUAUCGACAAACAAAGUCGACAGCCACACACACACACACACACUGUGUGGAGCUGCAGUUUGGCCUCUGCAGGUUUAUUUUGGUUUGUGGAGAGGAUAAUGUGGAAGGCCAGAGGCAAACAGUGUUCAUCUGCUUGUCGCACUACAAACAGGUUCUCUUUGCUACGGGGAAAAUGUCACGAUAGAAGAGAUUUCAAAGUUCUUUUUAAGCUCAUGUUUUAAGAACAAAUGCACUUUACUAAGGUUGGUCACCGUAGGGCUCAACGGGCUUAAAUCCCUCCACUGUAUGGACAGGCCUUUUAUUGCCUCUAUUAGACUGAACAGAGAAUUUUUUUUUUAAAUAAAAAUUGUCAUUGGCUUUUGUAACUUGUUCUCUUUAUUUAUUUUUGUGUUCUUUGACCACUUUCUGUUGAUAAUUUUUUCUUUUUCUUUUUACC
ensembl:lncRNA